rnacentral:lncRNA from 1 species
GGCAGGCUUCCGGGAAGAACAGCGAACGAUGUGAAGAAUUUUUGGAACACGUACCUGCGCAAGAAAGUGGAUAAAUGCUGCAAGAAUAAUAAAGAGAUGAAAGCAAAAGCUGAGAAGGUGGAAAAGAUCAAUAUCAUAAAACCUCAACCUCGGACCUUCGCUAAAAACUCACAAUGGUUGAAGGGCAAGGGAAUGACUUCAAAUAAUUUGCAAUUAGGAGAUUACAAUCUCGGCAAACAAUCCACCCCGUCUGAUGAUGAUCAUCAUCAUCAACAGCAGCAGGAGAAUGAAACUGAAUCUGUAUGGUGGGAAAGCUUUUUA